rnacentral:lncRNA from 1 species
UAGAUCAUGCAAGAGGGCAAUCCGGAUCUCACUGCUCCUCCGCUGCCUCCUCCGCCUCCCACCAGCGGCGCCCUAAGGUCCGAGGCUCUCGUCAAUGGUUUCGAGACAGAUAAAAGGAAAAGGUUCGCUUACUUUAUGAUGAAUUGAAUUGUGUUUUAGUUUGGAAGUGGAGCAUGUGAGUUGGAAUUAGGCGUGGGAAAGGAUAAGAGGAUGGCUGGAGAUGGGAGUGUCGUCCCUGCAGACCCAGUGAGAAGAAAAUUUCAAGGAUAUAUUUUAACUAAAUUGAUUAUUAAAUUCUUUCUUAUCACAUUAGUUGUCAAAUUAUAAAUAGUUUUGAAAGUGAUGCAAUAACCAAUCAACCAAAUUUCUUUUUAACAAAAUAUUCUGAGAGGUUGAAAUCCAAUCCAUACAAGCUGCUUAAUAUCCGACCAUAGUCUAAAAUACCAUCAAACCAAGCUUAAAACUAUCUUUCAAACAAUGAGAAGUUUUGAAGUUACAAACAGAGGAAAUGGCAUUUUCAAAAUAUGCCUAGUGGAUUACAGGAUUUGCUUCACAUCAGAAAUGGCUAGAGACAACAAGAAGAAAUGAAACAAUGAAGAGGGAAUACAGAAUAUCUUACACAAACGAACAGAUUGAUAUCAAUUAUAGAAUACGUGUAACUGUCGCUUCUGCUCCACCUUUACAACAACAAGAACCAUCAUAAAUCUCAAAUCUACAUAAUCACGCUGAAGCUCAACUCUGUUUGAGGCUAUUGUUCACCAGGAAGUACAGAUUAAAGCCAAUCAGAAGCUGCCGUUUGAAUAUCCGUCUCAGUAUGAGAGAGAGGAGUAACUGAGGUUGGGUUAUAAC